rnacentral:rRNA from 1 species
GUUGAACGCUGGCGGAAUGCUUUACACAUGCAAGUCGAACGGUAGAGGGGGCAACCCCUCGAGAGUGGCGAACGGGUGAGUAAUAUAUCGGAGCGUGCCCAGUCGUGGGGGAUAACGUAGCGAAAGUUACGCUAAUACCGCAUACGAUCUAAGGAUGAAAGCGGGGGAUCGCAAGACAUCGCGCGAUAGGAGCGGCCGAUAUCAGAUUAGGUAGUUGGUGGGGUAAAGGCUCACCAAGCCAACGAUCUGUAGCUGGUCUGAGAGGACGACCAGCCACACUGGAACUGAGACACGGUCCAGACUCCUACGGGAGGCAGCAGUGGGGAAUUUUGGACAAUGGACGCAAGUCUGAUCCAGCCAUUCCGCGUGCAGGAUGAAGGCCCUCGGGUUGUAAACUGCUUUUGUACGGAACGAAAAGGUCUCUCUUAAUACGGGGGACUCAUGACGGUACCGUAAGAAUGAGCACCGGCUAACUACGUGCCAGCCGCCGCCGUAAAAC